GCCCGGCUAGCUCAAUCGGUAGAGCGUGAGACUCUUAGUCAUCACGUCCUAACAGACUCGAUUAUUCAGUACAUCUCAAGGUUGUGGGGUAUGUAUAUCCUCCUAAUAACUAAAGGAAAACAUAUUAACAAUGUCACUAGUUCGACCCCCACGUCGGGCU
rnacentral:tRNA from 1 species